CAGGGCACAAAGCUAAAGGAUGUAGCUGCCAUGAUGACAGAUGACAUUAAUGCUCAAAGGGAGUCUCAUCAAAGUGCUCCGCAUCUGUGUGAAAGACAAUUGCAACAUCUUGGUGCAGGAGUUCAUGGACUUGACUGAGGCCACUGCACAGAUUGAGAAAACCACAAUGAACAUCUGUCUCCAGAGGAUGCACCAGGCAAUGACUUUUCUGACGUUGGCAUCAUCAUCGAGGGUAUAGUAGUUCUUCAAGAUCUGGAUAACGUGACCUUUGCAGUAGCCAUGCUGUUUGGACCUUUUUUAUUCCUUCAAUAUGAG